GCUCAGUUUCUUGUCCACUGUGCCACCGUUCCGCAGCUCCUGUUCCUGGCGGACUGGAAGGAGACGGACAGCAAGUGAGGGAAAUACACCAUCGAUGGAGAAUGAAAGGAUCGAAUGUGACAAGGGUAUACACAGAUUCCAAUUCCCCAAGAUGACUCACUCGUUUCUGUUUGGAAGUCUCUAAAGCCAUCGAAUAUGGAUCGGGCCGGUCUCCUUCGCUUUGGCACUGAAGGUUUACAAGACACAACAAAAUUUACAGGGCUCCAAAGAGUGCUUGCAAGAAAGACGUGAUUAAAAAUAAAAAAUUAAGUACCUCCAAAAAGUGGUUCCGGCUCCACAAGUAUGUCCUGCUUCUGGGGAAUUGGCGCUCGUACUUCGCUGUGACCACACAAAAACACCCCCCCCCCAAAAAAAACACUGAGUAUCUGAUCACAGAGAGCGUCACUCAGAGGAAGAAAUAAAUAGACAGAGGUUGAGCACUGACUCUGAAGGCGGAACUCUGCUGCUGGACGCUGCCGAACUGGAACUCGUGCUGGGUUCCUCAGCCACCACGCCUCCAUCCAGAAACAUGGUCACUGCCAUUUCCAAGUUGUUGUUGCAUGCUUCCAACAUAUGCUUCCCUACACUCUCUGUAGCCCCUAGUGGAGUAUUAAAAGGGACAUAACAAUUUUUUAAAACAAUGACAACAUUUAAAUCUGCAUUGCAGGUGUCUUAAUAACACGUCUAUUGCUUCUUUGUUCAAAUAACCAAAAGACUGUGAAUUAUAGAUGUUUUGAGAGCUUUUUCUUUGUUUUUGCCAUGGUGGAAUCAGCUUGCUUCAGGGCCGGAUCUGUCGAAUGGCGUGAGCCAAGCCUUGAGCCAGACAACCAGCUCUUACACAACAUCACCACUGGAUAAUUUAACUAUAGAAUGAGAAGUAUUAAACUGUGCAUCACG